ensembl:lncRNA
GCUACUUGGCAUGAAUGCCUGGGCCGUACCAAGUGUCACCGCAGCGAGAGGGGGAGUCAGAAGAAAAACAGAUCAGACCAGAGCAGACAAUAGGCCCCUAAAGUGUUCCCCCUAAGUUGCUUUGAUGUUGUCCUGGUGUCUUGAUACCAGGAGGCCAGGGAUUGCAGGAAAAGGGUCUUUUUUGUCUUCAUUCACUUUCCCCCCUCAGUUUCUGAAAUGAUUCUCCAGAAUUUCUCCUCAUAAAAAAGACUGCAAGCACCCCUGAGUGGAGAAACCUUGCAAGAUUUUACUUCCCAUCUCAAGCCUGGCUGCUUAGCCAAGGAGGGAGUUUUGAAACGUGGUCUCACUAAGUUGCCCAGGAUGGACUCGAACUUUUGAUUCCUCUGCCUCAGCCUUGCAGAGUGCUGGGAUUGUAGGUAUGUGUCACUGCGCCAAGCCCAGUUCAACUUCUGGCCCUUCAUGAAAUUAUCACUCAUCACUCCAGAGUCUACUCACUGCUUUUUCUUUUUUGUCAUU